rnacentral:misc_RNA from 1 species
CCGAGUUUACAACUCCCAAACCCCUGUGAACAUACCUAUAAUUGUUGCUUCGGCGGGACCGCCCCGGCGCCCACUCGGGCCCGGACCCAGGCGCCCGCCGGAGGCCCCAAACUCUUUGUUUUUACGUUGUGUAUCUUCUGAGUUAAACAAGCAAAUAAAUCA